GACGAACGCUGGCGGCGUGCCUAAUACAUGCAAGUCGAACGAACCGCGACUAGGUGCUUGCACUUGGUCAGGGUGAGUGGCGAACGGGUGAGUAACACGUGGGUAACCUACCUCAUAGUGGGGGAUAACAGUCGGAAACGACUGCUAAUACCGCAUAGGACAUAGGAUCACAUGAUCCAGUGAGGAACGGUGGCGUAAGCUAUCGCUAAGAGAUGGACCCGCGGUGCAUUAGCUAGUUGGUAGGGUAAAGGCCUACCAAGGCGAUGAUGCAUAGCCGACCUGAGAGGAUGAUCGGCCACAUUGGAACUGAGACACGGCCCAAACUCCUACGGGAGGCAGCAGUAGGGAAUCUUCCGCAAUGGACGCAAGUCUGACGGAGCAACGCCGCGUGAGUGAAGAAGGUCUUCGGAUCGUAAAGCUCUGUUGUUAGAGAAGAACAGCGCAUAGAGUAACUGUUGUGGGUGUGACGGUAGCUAAACAGAAAGCCACGGCUAACUACGUG
rnacentral:rRNA from 1 species